rnacentral:rRNA from 1 species
UACUUUGCUGUUUUGACGUUACCGACAGAAUAAGCACCGGCUAACUCUGUGCCAGCAGCCGCGGUAAUACAGAGGGUGCAAGCGUUAAUCGGAAUUACUGGGCGUAAAGCGCGCGUAGGUGGUUCGUUAAGUUGGAUGUGAAAUCCCCGGGCUCAACCUGGGAACUGCAUUCAAAACUGACGAGCUAGAGUAUGGUAGAGGGUGGUGGAAUUUCCUGUGUAGCGGUGAAAUGCGUANAUAUAGGAAGGAACACCAGUGGCGAAGGCGACCACCUGGACUGAUACUGACACUGAGGUGCGAAAGCGUGGGGGAGCAAACAGGAUUANAUACCCUGGUAGUCCNCGC